GAAAUCCUCAUGUUAACGGUUCCAAUUUCC
rnacentral:tRNA from 1 species